UUUUUAUUUCUUCUGUCAUUUUACCUUUAUUUUCAUCAUUCAUCUAUGCCUUAGGCUUACUUAGGCCUUAAUAUUGUUUAAAAGCAUACUUCUAGGGGCUCACUAAGAAAAUGAUGAAAUUACCCCUAGCCCGUGUUAUCGUGUCUACACUUAGUUACGAGCCUAUAGAGGUCAAGGUCUCACACCUUCCCACUAGUAUACUUCCCUCAAAUAUUGGUACAUCUUUGUAGCUCCUUAAUGUACCACGUAUGCUGCCAUAUGCACCUUUUCUAGUAUUUCUCUCCU
rnacentral:lncRNA from 1 species